rnacentral:rRNA from 1 species
UACGGAAGGGGCAAGCGUUGUUCGGAAUCAUUGGGCGUAAAGGGCGCGUAGGUGGCUCUGUAUGUCUACCGUGAAAGCAUACAGCUCAACUGUAUUUUGUCGGUAGAAACUGCAGGACUUGAGGCUGGGAGGGGCUGGUGGAAUUCCCUGUGUAGCGGUGAAAUGCGUAGAGAUGGGGGAGAACACUCGUGGCGAAGGCGGCCAGCUAGACCAGUUCUGACACUGAGGCGCGACAGCGUGGGGAGCAAACAGG